CCGCGCGAAGAAAAAAUCACUAUGAAAUAUCUUGGCCUCGUAUGCGACGAACGAAGAGGUCCGCCAGCCGUGCCUGACCUUGCCCGGUCCUCCGCGCUGCGACGACGAGGAGAUCCAGCGGCCGCUCUUGGCCUCCGCGGACCUCCGCAUGAAUCUCCGUCGAGCUCCGUCGAGCUCCGUCGGCCCAGCCUAGCCCCCGCAUCGCGGAGCUCCGUCCGCCGUGGCUCUCCUCGCGUGCCUGCCCUGGGCCUCCGCCGCGGCCAGCGCGAACUUCGCCUGCCGCUUGCUUGCUGUAGCCACCUCGCUUUGCUGCUCAAUUGUUUGCUUCGGCGGCCCGCGCGCGUUGCUAGCUAGAUCAAUUGACUGCAGCGGCCCCGAUUGCAUUGCUAGCUAAAUCGAUUGGGUCGGCCACCCGCGCGCAUGGAAUGGCCGCGGGCGCAUGAAAUAGACUAGCUUGCUCUCUUUUAUUUGUGGUAUGUUUAGAGUUGUAAAUUUUAGUUGAUUUUUUCAGAUUUAAUUGUGGCAUGUUUGAUCUUGUUUGAUGUAUGAAACUUGUUUGUGGAGCUCUAUUUUACAGCCUCUGCCGAAGGGUUGUAUUUAGCUUUUCUGGUUGCGCUGUAAAAUAGAGCCUCCGGCGAAGCUCGCGCCGGUGUCACACCCUAUAUCCGGAUCGAGCGCGCUGCAAACGACUUUUACAGCGCCAAAUUUUAGAGCCUCUGUUGGAUAUGCUCUGAGGAGGUGGCCAAAGUUUCAGAUCUCGAAUAAAAAUAAAUUCCCGGUUACCACAGGAUUUUGAAUUUAAAUUUUCUUAGAAUUUAUUAAUUACAAUUGAAGCUGCAAUUUGACACUACAGAGUUAGUACCGCAAUGGUAUUGAUUUAGCAUAGCGAGGAAGAGUUGUGAUAUUGCUAGUUUGAUUCUGUCCUGACACAUCUUUUUGCAUUAUGUUGUUUAAUCCUCACGAUGUUCGACAUUUCGAGAAACCCGGGGACCUCUAUCACGAGAGCAAGAAUGGAGGGCAGUUAGGCCAGUAGGUUUUGCGGAAACUAGAUGAAUACCCCGCGCGUUGCUGCGGAAUAUUUUCCGGCAAACAUUUUUUGAUGCAUGAAAAACAAUUAAUUAAAAAUAAUGAAGAAAAUCUGAAUCGGCUGUUUUCUGAAUGAUGAUUUGCAUAUCUGCAGCAGCUACAGUUCACAUGGAACCUUUCAAUUAGCUAUAAUGGGUGUAUCAUAGGACAUGCUUCAUUUACGAAGGUUUAAUCUCCUGUACUUUUUUUUCCGUAGGAACACAGAGCCGGACGAAUGCCCAACUAAUAGAGUUGUUCUCAAUGCUCUUCAUUGAAAACUGCAGCAUCUCCCUGUCGUCUAGGAACCAUCCAUUUUGACCGAUCGAGCGGAUCAUGUGCGCUCGUACUCCACUAGCAACCCGGAGAGUACAAACUCAAAAUCGGAUGGAAACUGGCGGAGUACCUCCACGGGAGGAGCAAAAAGUAAUUACUUCUCAUUAUCUCCCCCCAGUUCGCGGACGAACCCUAGCAGAGCGCAUCUUGGCGGCGGCGGGUAAAAUGGAGGAGGAGCAGACCGGGGAAGGGGACCAGGCGCCGUGUGGCCGUGGUUUCCAGCCACCCGACGGGUGGGCGCUGACGGAUGGGCGCUAGCAAUGGAGGAGCCGACCGGGGAGGGGGACGAGGCGCCAGCGCAGCUGUGGCAUCCAGCCCCCCGACGGAUGGACAAUUGGACACCAGUGGUAGUUGGCUCGCGGCGGCAAGAUGGGGGAAGGGAGGAGCGGCCGUGGUGGCCAGGUGGUUGGCUCCCUCGACAGAUGCGCGCAGACGGGUGCAGGAGUGGUGGUGGUUGGCUCGCUGCGGUGGCUUGGUGGGGGAAACAGCCAUGGCGGUCAGGUGGUCGGCUCCCUCUACUGAUGCGCGUUCCUGCAGGACCAGAACCGUGAUGAACAUCGAGGAGUUCAGCAUGUGAGGAACAUCCCUAUUAUUUUUGCAUGAAAUGGAUUGCUACCUGAAAGUUUCUUAGCUAGGGAUUGUGGCGAUGGCUUUUUUGCUGCAGGGGUUCAUUGCAGUGAUGCCUUUUUGUUUCUUCGGACAUUGCUUUUUCCGUGGAGGGUAUGUCAGGAUACUGACGACAGUGUAGCAAGGAUGUUCUAUUCUUCAGUUAUCCGACGGCUCAGGAGAACAAGACUAACAGUGGAGAUUAGCCCAUGGCGUCGUACUCACUUUGCCGUUUUCGGAAAGUACUGUUGCCUCUUAAUUAAGUGUCGUUAGGUGGUAUAAAGUCCAGCUGCGUCUGGCGUCUUGUUCAUCUUGUUCUCAUUUGCCUUGAGCAAAAUAUACCUAAGAAUAUACUCUAUACCUAAAACCCUAAGUUGGGGUAUCUGAAGGAGGGGUCUCCCUCCUCAGAACUACUUUAUUGUUUGAGCAAAUUCGAGUGAUUUCGUGAAUUCUUGUCAUGUAUGCUGUGGUGAUC